UACGAAGGGGGCUAGCGUUGUUCGGAAUCACUGGGCGUAAAGCGCACGCAGGCGGAUCGUUAAGUCAGGGGUGAAAUCCCGAGGCUCAACCUCGGAACUGCCUUUGAUACUGGCGAUCUUUGAGUCCGGGAGAGGUGAGUGGAACUCCGGAGUGUAGAGGUGAAAUUCGUAGAUAUCGGAAGAACACCAGUGGCGAAGGCGGCUCACUGGCCCGGUACUGACGCUCAGGUGCGAAAGCGUGGGGAGCAAACAGG
rnacentral:rRNA from 1 species